rnacentral:rRNA from 1 species
CCUACGGGCGGCAGCAGUGAGGAAUAUUGGUCAAUGGACGAGAGUCUGAACCAGCCAAGCAGCGUGAAGGAUGACUGCCCUAUGGGUUGUAAACUUCUUUUAUAUGGGAAUAAAAUGUUCCACGUGUGGGAUUUUGUAUGUACCAUAUGAAUAAGCAUCGGCUAACUCCGUGCCAGCAGCCGCGGUAAUACGGAGGAUCCGAGCGUUAUCCGGAUUUAUUGGGUGUAAAGGGAGCGUAGGUGGAUUGUUAAGUCAGUUGUGAAAGUUUGGGGCUCAACCGUAAAAUUGCAGUUGAAACUGGCAGUCUUGAGUACAGUAGAGGUGGGCGGAAUUCGUGGUGUAGCGGUGAAAUGCUUAGAUAUCACGAAGAACUCCGAUGGCGAAGGCAGUUCACUGGACUGCAACUGACGCUGAGGCUCGAAAGUGUGGGGAUCAAACAGGAUUAGAUACCCUUGUAGUC